rnacentral:rRNA from 1 species
UCAGGCCUAACACAUGCAAGUCGAACGGGAUCUUCGGAUCUAGUGGCGGACGGGUGAGUAACGCGUGGGAACGUGCCCUUUGCUUCGGAAUAGCCCCUGGAAACGGGGAGUAAUACCGGAUGAGCCCUACGGGGGAAAGAUUAUCGGCGAAGGAUCGGCCCGCGUUGGAUUAGGUAGUUGGUGGGGUAAUGGCCUACCAAGCCGACGAUCCAUAGCUGGUUUGAGAGGAUGAUCAGCCACACUGGGACUGAGACACGGCCCAGACUCCUACGGGAGGCAGCAGUGGGGAAUCUUAGACAAUGGGGGAAACCCUGAUCUAGCCAUGCCGCGUAGUAAAGGAGGCCUUAGGGUUGUAAAGCUCUUCAGCUGGAAG